rnacentral:rRNA from 1 species
UACGUAGGGGGCUAGCGUUGUCCGGAAUCAUUGGGCGUAAAGAGCGUGUAGGCGGUCCGGUAAGUCCGCUGUGAAAGUCGGGGGCUCAACCCUCGAAUGCCGGUGGAUACUGUCGGGCUAGAGUGCGGAAGAGGCGAGUGGAAUUCCUGGUGUAGCGGUGAAAUGCGCAGAUAUCGAGAGGAACACCUGCGGCGAAGGCGGUUCUCUGGGACGGUACUGACGCUGAGGCGCGAGAGCGUGGGGAGCGAACAGG